rnacentral:lncRNA from 1 species
GCUACCAACAAAAUUUGAACUCACGCCGUCAUGUAAUGGCUCAACCACUUUCCACCAUUGUGGUAAAGGGCUAUUUGCAACCCCAUUUUUCAGAUAUUGGGUUUUAAGUUUUAGGUUUGUUAUGGGCACUCCUUUUGGGCCUAUUUCUUGUAUUUCUAAUGUGGUGGGUUGUAAUCUUACUUUGUUGUUUUGGAUUGUCUUUGAACAUUCUUAACCUUGUUUUAGCUCUCUAUUGAAUCAAAUUAUCUUGUUUGACCGAAAUAAAAAGAAGAAAUGUUGCUAAUAAGUUUGAAUAUAUGAUUUAGUAUAAGGAAAACUAAUGAAAAGAGCUUGAAAACUUUGAGUUUUAAUGAUAAGGACAAAAUAAAGGGUAAAGUGAAUAGUACCAGGAUUGACUUUUUAGUGUAAAAAUGUGGUUUUUCGUUAAAGUGAACAGUACCAGGUGCUUUUCGUUAAAGUUCCCUUUAGUAUAUUAUCGUCCAUCAAUGUGCAAUAUAUGAGCUUUCAAGUGUUCACCGAUUAAGAAGUUAGUACGAUGCUAAUUAACAACAUUUAUAUAUUAUCUUUUCAAAAACUUCACUAAAAUAAAAAUCAGUUGAGCGCUUUGAUUAUCAUUGUGAACAUUUUUUGUUUUAUCGACAACGUUGUGGUCAUCCAUUUAUUGCCACAACUAUAUUAAUUAAAUGGUUCUUUUUAGGUUUGAUUUUCGCUAAAACCGAAUUUGAACUAUAUUAUUGUUAGUUCAUUGUAAAACUAAGCCCACCCCUCCGCCUUAGUGUAGAUAAUAUUGUUUGUUAAAAAAAAAUUAUUGUAGGAGAUCAAAAUUCUAAACCAAAUUUUGUAAACCAAAUGAUGUUUAUGUUGAUGAUUGAAUUAUGAAUUAAAUAUUGAUUAGCACGCUUAUUUCUUAUUGGUGAUACAUCAUUUGGUUUACAAAUUUGGUCUCCCUAGCAUUAUCCUUGAAUUAUUAAUUAAGUGUCGAUUAACGUACUUAUUUUUUAUUAGUAACAUAUCAUUUGAUUGUAAAUUUAGUUUAAAAAUUUGGUAUCUAAAUGUGCUGAAUUGUCAAAGACUUGGGCUUGAGGUAUUUAGAUGGCUAAUUCUCAUCCAGCAAACAUAGCGAAUAACAAAGGUUAUCCAAGACAUGAAUCAUGCAUUGCAUGCACCCGAUAUGAAUAUGUGUAAGAUCUCAUUACAGACAAUGGGCAUAUUCAUUUCUAAGAUAGGAUCCAAAAAGACCACACAAAUCUUAGCGAUAAAAUUCUUGUCAUCACAAACUAGUUUGUUUACAAAAUCGACAAGCUCAUCGUUCAACAAUCAACGAUCCCCUGGCUGCUUUCCUAACUUCAAUGAUAUUGCCCCAAGGUACGUAUAGGUACAGCCAAACGACAAACAUAAAACUGAUGAACCCACAGAUUAAUUGAGAAAAUAACCUUACAUAUAUAUAAAAACUAAUGGCAAUGCAUCGCAAAAGAUUUGAUCUGGACUUGACCAAAUACCAUCACUUAAUUGCUAAGACACGCGGACGACAAAUAAAACAGCCAGGUCUUAUCUGUUUGGAAUAGUACUGGACAAAAUAUUUGCCAUCGUUCAUCAUCGUAGCUUUAUUUGUGUCGUUCAAUCCAUGUCCUCUCUUACCUAGUUGCUUGUGACUAGUUACUAUCGUAUUUAAUUAAUCGAAAUGACUCUAAGUGCAGACAAACGAAGCAAAAUAAGUUGAUGAUUAUCCGUUGAAUAUUUCAAGUUACAGAAUAUGUGUAUAUAUGUAUAUAUGUAUAUAUGGUUUUGGAUUUUAAAGAUUUUGUAGACAUGAUUUUUAUGGUAAGAUAUAAAAGAUAGACAGUUGUAUCGUUGAAAUAUAUUAUGAAGUGAAUUAUACAAAAAUAUGUGAUAAAAACGUGUGUUCCGGUUUUCUAACCCAUAUAUAUGAUUAAUAUAUGGAUAUCAGAAAAGUGGAUUACGGUUGGUCUUUUGCCUAACCAGUAUGUCUUUCAAUUGAUAAAAUAUAUGUAAACCAACAUGCCUUUUGAUAAAAGGCGUGGCUUUUGAUGAAAUCUUGUAUCUGUUAGCAAAUAGGCAUGACCUUUACAUAAAUGGUUUUGCAUGCAUCAGAUAUUGUUGGGAUGUUUGAGUAGAAACUCAUACUUAUCCAUCUCACAUUGAUGAAGUGCAGGUUUCUCACACACUUAAUAACACUUGACUUUCCUCACUCUUGACUUUCCUCACUUAAUUAAGUUAAGAAAUGGGUCGAAAUUACUUGAUUAAGACCAUGAUAAUUAUAUAUUCAAUUAUCAAAGGCUAGGGUCUUGGGCCUUAGGGUGAAUUCAAUUAAACAUUUUAAUCUUGUUUUAAUUUUAUUAAAAUAAAAUAUUUUUUGUUAAUUUAAGUCAUAUCCUUUCCUAAAGAAUAAGGCUAAUGAGAAACGGUUUGUAAGAGCAUUGACAAACAGCGGAGAAAGAGAGUCUUAAGCGACUAGAGAGAUGAAGAAAAGCAGUGAAAGCGAAGGCGGAGGUCGAAGUCAAAGAUGCUAGGUUGCGAAGUGUCUCGAUACUCCACUACAAUUGCUAGUAGCUUCUUUUCCUACAAACCAACAUGAAGAAAAUUGAGGUUCCACAUAAAACCAAUAGACGAUAUAGGGAGUAGCCUAACUUUCUUAUAAGCCCAUGCAAGGUCUCUCCUCCCAUCAGUGUCACAUCCUAGCCCGG